rnacentral:rRNA from 1 species
UACGUAGGGUGCGAGCGUUAAUCGGAAUUACUGGGCAUAAAGCGUGCGCAGGCGGCUUUGCAAGACAGAUGUGAAAUCCCCGGGCUCAACCUGGGAACUGCAUUUGUGACUACAAGGCUAGAGUACGGCAGAGGGGGAUGGAAUUCCGCGUGUAGCAGUGAAAUGCGUAGAUAUGCGGAGGAACACCAAUGGCGAAGGCAAUCCCCUGGGCCUGUACUGACGCUCAUGCACGAAAGCGUGGGGAGCAAACAGG